rnacentral:rRNA from 1 species
AUGGGCAUUAUGGUUGGCAAGACGGAGAAAGUGGAUAUGGCCUUUACUCGUGCACAUGGAGUGGCCCACAUCUUAGUGAGCGUUUUGGAUAUUGAGUUCGUGCCUGAUGUGGUCAACUGGACUUAUAGGGGAGAGGUGUUUCCUCUUGAGAUCGAGUUUGAGGACGCCGCCCUGUUUGCUGAGGCAAUGAUUGGGAAUGAUGUUGAUAUGCACGAGGGGGACGACAGUGCGGGAGCUGAGGGGGCACCGACUGACGAGUCGACUCAUGAGGGGACUAACGGCUCUCGUCCUGUGGCUCAGUCCGGGGAUGGGACCGGGGUUGAGCCGGCACCCUCACCAUCGGUGCCUAUGACUUCGUUGCGGUUUGGGUCCUUUGAGCCAGCCUCUACCCCUCCUAGACUUUGGAGCGACCGGGUAGAUUCUGAUGAUGCGUUUGAGCAGUCACUACCUUUGUUGGAGUUCGAGGAUGCCGGUCGGGCACUGGCUGGAUGCUUGGCGCGGACAUCGUCGGUGAGGACUUUGGUUGGCUCCGGGGACGGGGAGUCGGUGGUUGCUCCUCCUGAGGUCGAGGUUCCGGAGAUAACGGCU